UGGCGGACGGGUGAGUAAUGUCUGGGAAACUGCCUGAUGGAGGGGGAUAACUACUGGAAACGGUAGCUAAUACCGCAUAACGUCGCAAGACCAAAGAGGGGGACCUUCGGGCCUCUUGCCAUCGGAUGUGCCCAGAUGGGAUUAGCUAGUAGGUGGGGUAACGGCUCACCUAGGCGACGAUCCCUAGCUGGUCUGAGGGGAUGACCAGCCACACUGGAACUGAGACACGGUCCAG
rnacentral:rRNA from 2 species